GAUGAACGCUGGCGGCGUGCUUAACACAUGCAAGUCGAACGGAAAGGCCCAAGCUUGCUUGGGUACUCGAGUGGCGAACGGGUGAGUAACACGUGGGUGAUCUGCCCUGCACUUCGGGAUAAGCCUGGGAAACUGGGUCUAAUACCGGAUAGGACCACAUUUUGGAUGGUGUGGUGGAAAGUUUUUCGGGGUGGGAUGAGCUCGCGGCCUAUCAGCUUGUUGGUGGGGUAAUGGCCUACCAAGGCGUCGACGGGUAGCCGGCCUGGGAGGGUGUACGGCCACAUUGGGACUGAGAUACGGCACAGACUCCUACGGGCGGCAGCAGUGGGGAAUAUUGCACAAUGGGCGCAAGCCUGAUGCAGCGACGCCGCGUGGGGGAUGACGGCAUUCGGGUUGUAAACUCCUUUCGCUAGGGACGAAGCGUUUUUGUGACGGUACCUGGAGAAGAAGCACCGGCUAACUACGUG
rnacentral:rRNA from 1 species